UAACAAAUCUUCUUCGGUGGUACAUGUAGUUUUCUCAAAUCACUAAUUUCACAAUUGUAUACUCAGAUUCCACCUCCAAUUUCUCUCAUCCAUUUGAAAAUCUACAGGAGCAAUGUCUUGUUUAAAUCCCUUAUCGGCGGUGAGGAGUCAGCGGAAUUUUCGGAAUGAAUAAAAGUUGGUUGAAUAUUAAGAAUAUAGUUGACCAAACGUAUAGAGAUGGAGUCGGCGGCCUUCUCAAUCGGGAGUUCAGUCAACCAAGGGUGAGCAUUAUGAUUCCAUGUCCUUGUAAAGGGUAUAUAAACACCUUGUUCAAGCUAAGCAUUGGUGUAAGAGGAGACUAGUUGAGGAACGGUUUCUAGGAUUCUUAUAAAGUGUGGAAAUUGCAAAAGAAAUUGGAAGAGAAGCCUGAACACGUGAAUGUAGAAGUAGAUAAGAGCAUCCAAGACAAUUGACUGCUUUUACGACCAGAAUGCAAUAGGGACAAGAUUCUUAAACGAUGACGUCCACCAAGGAAGAGAUUGAAGGCGCGCACCGAAUAUUUUGUGUUUUUGGUCAUAUGUAUAUAGUAAGGCUGGCAAGUGGGCCGGUUCAGGCCCGGGAUCGGCCCGGGACCGCGGGCCAAACGGCUAA